UCUGGUGACGACAGCGAUAGGGAAACACCUGUUCCCAUUCCGAAUACAGCAGUUAAGCCUAUCAGCGCCGAUGAUACUGCCCGGGCAACUGGGUUGGAAAGUAGGACGUUGCCAGUU
rnacentral:rRNA from 1 species